rnacentral:rRNA from 1 species
UACGGGGGGGGCAAGCGUUGUUCGGAAUUACUGGGCGUAAAGGGCUCGUAGGCGGCCAACUAAGUCAGACGUGAAAUCCCUCGGCUUAACCGGGGAACUGCGUCCGAUACUGGAUGGCUUGAGUUUGGGAGAGGGAUGCGGAAUUCCAGGUGUAGCGGUGAAAUGCGUAGAUAUCUGGAGGAACACCGGUGGCGAAGGCGGCAUCCUGGACCAACACUGACGCUGAUGAGCGAAAGCCAGGGGAGCAAACGGGG